rnacentral:rRNA from 1 species
AUUGAACGCUGGCGGCAGGCUUAACACAUGCAAGUCGAGCGAGCGGCGGACGGGUGAGUAAUGUCUGGGAAACUGCCUGAUGGAGGGGGAUAACUACUGGAAACGGUAGCUAAUACCGCAUACUAUCGGAUGAACCCAUAUGGGAUUAGCUAGUAGGUGAGGUAAUGGCUCACCUAGGCGACGAUCCCUAGCUGGUCUGAGAGGAUGAUCAGCAACACGGGGACUGAGACACGGCCCAGACUCCUACGGGAGGCAGCAGUGGGGAAUAGUGCACAAUGGGCGCAAGCCUGAUGCAGCCAUGCCGCGUGUAUGAAGAAGGCCUUCGGGUUGUAAAGUACUUUCAGCGGGGAGGCGUUACCCGCAGAAGAAGCACCGGCUAACUCCGUGCCAGCAGCCGCGGUAAUUC